CCUACGGGUGGCAGCAGUGAGGAAUAUUGGUCAAUGGCCGGAAGGCUGAACCAGCCAAGCCGCGUGAAGGACGAAGGUGCCCAGCUUUUUAAACUUCUUUUGUCAAGGGACACAAUCAGGCUCGAGAGCCUGACCGAGGGGACUUGAAGAAAAAGCAUCGGCUAACUCCGUGACAGCAGCCGCGGUACUAUGGAGGAUGCGAGCGUUAUCCGGAUUGAUUGGGUUUAACGGGUGCGUAGGCGGUCUGUUAAGUCAGCGGUAAAAGCCCGGGGCUCAACCCCGGCGAGCCGUUGAAACUGGCUGUCUUGAGAUGUCGAGAGGUAUGCGGAAUGCGCAGUGAAGCGGUGAAAUGCGUAGAUAUUGCGCAGAACACCGAUUGCGAAGGCAGCAUACCGGCUGCGAUCUGACGCUGAGGCACGAAAGCGUGGGUAUCGAACAGGAUUAGAUACCCUUGUAGUC
rnacentral:rRNA from 1 species